CUCAAACACCAAAGUUACAUGAAUCAUUCUUGUGGUUCAAACAAUUAACUCUCUCUCUCUCUCUCUCUCUCUCUCUCUCUCUCUCUCUCUCUCUCUCUCUCUCUCUCUCUCUCUCUCUCUCUCUCUCUCUCUUUUAAAUUCACAACUUUGUCUCCCAAUAUUGUCUAUUAUUUAAACACAUGUCUCUCACCGCUGACACUCUCAAACAAAUCACUCUUUUAAACACUUAUCUAUUCUCUUCAAAUAUUAUCAUAGCUAUAAUAGGUGUUGCACCACCAUAUUUAUAAAAUCGUUUGGUAGCUUAACCAAAGUUGCAAAAAUAUUUUAAUUUGCGUUCCAGGACAGUAGAUGGUUGUGGUGUUGGCCGUCCCAUGGCAGUUGGUCCAACAUUUCAUUGCAAUUGCUUAUUCCAUAGAGAACAAAUUGACAGAAGUUUAAAUGAAACCAUAUAAAUCAACUCGUUCUACCUACAAAAAUAAGUUAACAUUCUUUAGUUGUCUCAUUAUAUAAUAAUAUAAACAUAAUAAUUUUGCAAUAUGAAAAUCAUGAAACCACAUCGGAUCAGUUUUCUAUUGUUGUUUGGUUGAUACAUUCCAGAAAAAAUACUCAUGGAAUAAGAAUAUACCAAUAGUGAUCUAUUAAAAGAAAUCUAUGUAUUUCAGAUCAAGUGGAAUAGGAGAAAAGUAAUCUACCAAUAACUAAGUUUAAUCAACAAAAAGAUUAACAUAAUAUAAUGAUCUCUAGUCAAUUUACAAUGAAAUAAACCUUGUCAACUACAUGCUCGUUGUUAUUAGAUUGAUUGGUGUUGGGUGCAUUAAUAGUGGAAGUCUUUCAACAUGAACAUUCUUAAAUCAAAACUCUUGUAUUCAAAAGGUAGUAAGAUAUCACAUAUUCUAUCUCAAGUCUCAACUGCAGUAACUGAUAAUUUAGCUCCUAAGAAGUGAAACCUCAAAUGGCUUCUAAAAAUCCCAAUCUAAUCUUUUGGACAUAAAUGUUUUCGAUUCCAACUUUCCUAGUAAACUUUCUAGGUAAGGUUUAGACUACAUUACUAACUUUUUUAGCUACACAUGUGACCUACAAUCUAUCUGAUAAGCUAGUAUGAUUUUCAAAAGACCAGUGGUACAACUUACCAAAAUAUGUUACUUAAAUAUUUUUUGGUGUUUUCAGUUAGUCGAUAAUAGUUAGAACAUAUAUGCCAACAAUCACUAUUUGACUAUUUCAUCCUACUAAUUUCUAAUACUACUUGUAAAACAUAUAUACACUAAUGUGUAUCCAUUUAUUAUGAUAUUAGGAAAUAAUAGGAAUCUUAGUCCAGAUUGUUAACUCAAUCUAUACUCAGUCAACAAAAUAAUAUUCAGGCAACAAAAUUGUGGAAAUAAAUCACUCGUUUAUAAAAAUCAAUCACGACAUAUUUCUGAAAAAAUGAGAAAGUAAAAAAGAGAAUCCUUUAUUCAGUCAAGCAAGCUACAUGCUUCAUUAUAGAUAAUGAUGACAAAAUAUGUUUUAUAAUAUAUAUUUUUUUUUAUCAAAUAAGAGUAUUUCCUUGACUAAAUGUAAUAUAAAAACAAUACCAUGCACAAUACAUCUCAUGUUUUCUAAAACAGAGAAUCUAUAUCAGCAAAAGUAGGGUAGUUCAAGUAUAAUAUGAAUUUCUAGGUUUUGCCUCCCUCCUAUUCUCGCGGUAGAAGAUGGCUUCAUGUUUUAAGGUUACGGAACAAAUCUACUCCCUAUCAUAUCCGUCAUAGAAAUAACUUAAACAACUUCUUAUCUUAAAACUAUGUCUAUAUACUCAAGAAACUUCUAAGGUAUUCAAGUUCCACAUCUCAACUAUUAUCUCUUUUUAGAAACCCACUAUGCAGAAAUAUCUUCACUUGGAUCACUCACAUACAAUCUACCACUCCGACAGAUGGAUCAUUACACCUAUAAAUUUAUGGUUUGUCAAAAAGCUUAUAAUAUAUCAUAUAUGCAUUAAAUCCAUGUUUAUUACUACGUCAUGCACUCAUCAUUUGAUAAUUAAAGAAUAUCAUUUUUAAGAAACAAUCAAUAGAAUGAUCCACUUUAAGAAAAUUAUGUAUUGUACUGCUUGAGCUCGGAUGGAAUGUCUAGUCCUCAGAAUAUCGGUCGUUAGUGUUACCCAUAAACCUGAACAUAAGUUUGCUCAUUGCUCAGAUGAAAUGAUCCACUUUGAGUUGGUAAGUCCAAGUUCCAUCUUCUAUUACUGACAUUCUUUGUUGUGCAAAAAUCUUUUGUGUACAUUAUCAUUCAUUUGUUUGAAUUUAAAAUCUAUUAUAGAACCAUUCAAUUUGUAGUUAAUUGAUAGACCAUGUACCUGCUAUGUUGGUUAUAGUAGGUGAAUCAUAAAUGCUGGCAAACUGACUAUAAAAGGUGAAACAGUGAGCCACUUGAUCAUGAGAGAGAAGACGAUUCAAAUCCUACAGCACAAAACUGUUACAUUAGAUCAUACUAAAUUUCUUAUAAAAUCAUCUAAUUACACACCCAUAAAAAUGUAUACUAAAAUUUUAACACAAGGAACGCGAUAAGAGGGAGAAAUCCGAAUUUCAACAGGGAAAGAGUAAUGAAUUCUAUAAGAUUCGUUUGCCCAUAUAUUUCUGCACCAUGUAAAUCUCUCUGCACAGACAGUGGUUUCAAGAUUAGCUUGGGAUUGAGAUUCUUGUAUCUUGAACGUAUGAUCUUUGUUUUUACUCAACUAAUCACAUAAAAUUUACAAAUUUCAGUUUGGUACGUACAUUAAACUACAUUGACCUGGGUUUCAAUAUGUUGAUUCUUUUACGACUCUACCAUUAGCCAUUGCAAAGUGAAAAUUAACCCCCCCCCCCCCACCCCCCAACCCUCUCUCUCUUUCCCUUUUUCUUUGACCUGUGAGAAGGACUGGCAAACUCAAAACUUUGAUAGCCUACAUACAAUGGUAAUGGUAUUGGUAAUGGUAAACAGGUAGCGAGAAAACUGAAGUACAUUUAAUUGUUCAUGUUUUGGCAUUGUUAUGUUAAAUAAUUGUCAAGUGGGAAUGUCAAGACUCCAAUUACCUAUAUGCUACUUGUAAUGCUGGUGGAUUCCAGAAACUAAUGUAUAAUUUGCGGAUUCUUCCUUCGUGAGUCAAGAGGUUAGAUCAAUACUUCGUUUCAUCCCUGUCAUUUGAUCAUCUUACUCAAUCGCUAUGUGAAAUAAUUAUCAAUUGACAUUGUCAAGACUCCAAUUAUAUGUAUGGUAUCUGGAAUGCUGGUGUAUGUUGAAAAGGAGGAUGAAGAGAGAGCCACGAUGGAGAGGAGGUCGUAAAAUUCUGAAGGCAGAAGAAGAAGAUGAGGGAACAGACUACCAAUUCAAAAGUCACUUUUUACGUGUUUUCAAGACCACAAUUAAGUUGGAGUCCCUUUCACUUCAUCAAACAUUGUGACAUUAGCAUCGUAAACUUUCAGUGGUCCAAUCAACCAAUCUGGUUCUAAAUAGAGUCAGGUUUGAGUUCUCGUAGGCCAUUGUCUUUAAAAGCCAUAGUUAACUUUUUCUAAGAUUGUAUUAAGCUUCAUUUCCCUUAAUAUCAAAAAUUUAAGAGCCAUUGUUUUUUAUACAUAUUUGAUUCAAUAUAUAGAUAUUGAAUCAAAUAAAUAUCUCAACUAUAAUCAUCCAUUAUUAUCUCUAAUCUAUGAAUUUGGAAUAGUAUUUAUAAUUAUCCAUCGUUUUAUUAACUUAGGAUAGUAUGUUAUGGUUACUUUUAUUUCUCUUAAGACCAAAACAACAUUGUUGUUUAGCUUUAUCCUUUAUGUCCAUAUGAUUUGAACCUUAGUACAUUAUAAUAAGUCCAAAAUUAUAAUACAAUUUGGCAAAUAAAAAAACCAUAUCGAGUUAAGAAAUCAAGUAAGGACACAGUAUUUAUAAACAAAAAUGUAAACCUAACGAUAAGAUUUUUCUAAACAAAGUGUAAACUAAGAGCUCAAAACAGAAUAAGUAUAUGUUACCUAACACGUAUAGUAUUCCUUUUUUAAAUUAGAAUGUUGGUUGUAACUGCUUACAUCCAUUUUUAGAUAAUUUGAAUGACACUGCGGCAAGCCAAACAAAAAGCUAAAGCUCAAUCUUUUGUUACCUAAAUGCAGCAUAAUAAUGUCAAGCUAGUGAGUGCAAUAUUAAAAGAAAUGAUUGAAUAAAAAUGGAUCUAUAGACACACUGAUAGAAAGAGUUAUCUUAAAACAUGGGAGAGAGAGAAAGCAUACCUUCAAGGCUUCAAUAAAACUGAAAUCUGAAAGGUUUGCAGAACUCUUUUCCUCUUUUAUACUGUAUUCAUCUCACUCUUAUAUUACAUCCUUAUCCU
rnacentral:lncRNA from 1 species